rnacentral:rRNA from 1 species
CCUACGGGAGGCAGCAGUGAGGAAUAUUGGUCAAUGGACGGAAGUCUGAACCAGCCAUGCCGCGUGCAGGAUGACGGCUCUAUGAGUUGUAAACUGCUUUUGUACGAGAAUAAUAGUAUUUACGUGUAGGUAUUUGCAUGUACCGUAUGAAUAAGGAUCGGCUAACUCCGUGCCAGCAGCCGCGGUAAUACGGAGGAUUCGAGCGUUAUCCGGAUUUAUUGGGUUUAAAGGGUGCGUAGGGUGUUGGUUAAGUUAGAGGUGAAAUGUCGGGGCUUAACCCCGAGAUUGCCUUUGAUACUGGUCGACUAGAGGGCGUAUGCGGCAGGCGGAAUGAGUGGUGUAGCGGUGAAAUGCUUAGAUAUUACUCAGAACACCGAUUGCGCAGGCAGCUUGCUAAUCCACAACUGACGCUGAAGCACGAAAGCGUGGGUAGCAAACAGGAUUAGAUACCCGGGUAGUC